rnacentral:rRNA from 1 species
UACAGAGGGUGCGAGCGUUAAUCGGAUUUACUGGGCGUAAAGCGUGCGCAGGCGGUUGUGCAAGACAGGUGUGAAAUCCCCGGGCUUAACCUGGGAACUGCACUUGUGACUGCACAGCUGGAGUACGGCAGAGGGGGAUGGAAUUCCGCGUGUAGCAGUGAAAUGCGUAGAUAUGCGGAGGAACACCGAUGGCGAAGGCAGUCCCCUGGGCCUGUACUGACGCUCAUGCACGAAAGCGUGGGGAGCAAACAGG